rnacentral:rRNA from 1 species
GAUGAACGCUGGCGGCGUGCCUAAUACAUGCAAGUAGAACGCUGAAGGAAGGAGCUUGCUCUUUCCGGAUGAGUUGCGAACGGGUGAGUAACGCGUAGGUAACCUGCCUGGUAGCGGGGGAUAACUAUUGGAAACGAUAGCUAAUACCGCAUAUCAGUAGAUAUUGCAUGAUAUCUGCUUGAAAGGUGCAAUUGCAUCACUACCAGAUGGACCUGCGUUGUAUUAGCUAGUUGGUGAGGUAACGGCUCACCAAGGCGACGAUACAUAGCCGACCUGAGAGGGUGAUCGGCCACACUGGGACUGAGACACGGCCCAGACUCCUACGGGAGGCAGCAGUAGGGAAUCUUCGGCAAUGGACGGAAGUCUGACCGAACAACGCCGCGUGAGUGAAGAAGGUUUUCGGAUCGUAAAGCUUUUUUGUAAGAGAAG